GGAGCAGUGGUGUAGAGGCCUAACAUGCCAGCCUGUCACGCUGGAGAUCGCGGGUUCGAAUCCCGUCUGCUCCGCCA
rnacentral:tRNA from 6 species